rnacentral:lncRNA from 10 species
AAUGAUGAAAACUUCACAACGAUAAGGGCGGGAAUGUGCUGAGGUCCUGGUGCCACACCGAAUGGCUGCAUGCCUUGUCCCCAUUCAUCCUCAUGACCAGCCCGUGGAAAAGGAAUAUUUCACAGAUAAGGAAAUUGAGGCUCAGAGGGGUUGCCUGGAUCACACAGCUCAGAAAGGAUAGAGCUGAGACUGAAACUCAGGCUGAUAGAUCCACAGCCCACACUGAAUCACAAUGCAUGCCGUCCUCUUCCCACAUAAAUAAGUUUAUAGAGGGGGCUAAAUGUGGGGCAUAAACAGAUAUUGCUCCAAAACUCAGAGGCUGAGUUGGUCUGGAAAGACUUCUGACAACAAGGUGAGAGUUGACACAGCUGAGUAGAGAGGAUGCGGUGGGGCCAGCCUGCCCUCCCCCAACCCCCCGCUCCGAGUGCUCUUUGCAGCAAAGAGUCUCGCCAAUCAGGUUUAACCACCCAAUCCAACUCCCCACACCCCACAGGACCCCCCAGCAUGUACUGGCCACUGCACUGGGAGGUGCAGGGACACAGAGAGGAUUAAGAGAAGGUCUCUGCCUCUCAGGAGCCAUCUCCUAGGGAGGGCAGGUGGGUGCAUAAUGAUUGAUUCAAGACCUAAGCAGACAUGAAUCAAUUACACUGCCAUUACUUUAAUGUUCUAUCCAGGGCUUCGAGGGAAAAGCUCUGGUCCCAAUUCUGCCACUAUUUGCUAGGAGACUUU